CAAAUGAGAACUUUGAAGGCC
rnacentral:snRNA from 1 species